rnacentral:rRNA from 1 species
GAUGAACGCUGGCGGCGUGCCUAAUACAUGCAAGUCGAGCGAACGGACGAGGAGCUUGCUUCUCUGAUGUUAGCGGCGGACGGGUGAGUAACACGUGGAUAACCUACCUAUAAGACUGGGAUAACUUCGGGAAACCGGAGCUAAUACCGGAUAAUAUUUUGAACCGCAUGGUUCAAAAGUGAAAGACGGUCUUGCUGUCACUUAUAGAUGGAUCCGCGCUGCAUUAGCUAGUUGGUAAGGUAACGGCUUACCAAGGCAACGAUGCAUAGCCGACCUGAGAGGGUGAUCGGCCACACUGGAACUGAGACACGGUCCAGACUCCUACGGGAGGCAGCAGUAGGGAAUCUUCCGCAAUGGGCGAAAGCCUGACGGAGCAACGCCGCGUGAGUGAUGAAGGUCUUCGGAUCGUAAAACUCUGUUAUUAGGGAAGAACAUAUGUGUAGUAACUGUGCACAUCUUGACGGUACCUAAUCAGAAAGCCACGGCUAACUACGUG